UACGUAGGGGGCAAGCGUUGUCCGGAUUCAUUGGGCGUAAAGAGCUCGUAGGCGGCUUGGCAAGUCGGGUGUGAAAACUUCAGGCUCAACCUGGAGCGGCCACUCGAUACUGCCAUGGCUAGAGUCCGGUAGGGGACCACGGAAUUCCUGGUGUAGCGGUGAAAUGCGCAGAUAUCAGGAAGAACACCCGUGGCGAAGGCGGCUCUCUGGGACGGUACUGACGCUGAGACGCGAAAGCGUGGGGAGCGAACAGG
rnacentral:rRNA from 1 species